rfam:Brassica napus, WGS project CCCW01000000 data, contig: 23726
GCAAAUAAAGGUUCGCUUCGCAGGAGAGAUAGCGCCAUCACUUCUUCUUAAGAGUUUAGAAGAUGGUGACGGUAUCUCUCCUACGUAGCAAUCCUUAUAUAAUGC